GUGCGAGCCAGGGGAGGAAGAAGGGGGAACCCAAAAACCCUAACUACUUGAAUCAACAAAUUGAGCCACGAUUUGAAGGAAAAUUCGAUGCAUGAGCCACUUUUUCUGAAAAUCUAACCCUAACUAGUGAAGUGGGUCAAAGAAAAGAGGAGAAUCAAGCCAAGCAAAGGCAAUAGGAGCGCACAACUCCGGGUCAAAGAAAAGAGGAGAAUCAAGCCAAGCAAAGGCAAUAGGAGCGCACAACUCCGGUAAAUCCUCAACUUAGGCGACUUGGCGAAAUGGAGCGAGCACGUGUCCAUGUCAUGUUAUCCCAAACGCUUCCGCUAACUUAUGUUCAUCUUUAUGGUCCAUAACUUGUUAUUUUGUCCAACUUUGUUAGUAGUCGUACAUUUGUAAAGCUUGUCG